rnacentral:ncRNA from 2 species
GGGGGAGUAUGGUCGCAAGGCUGAAACUUCAAGGAAUUGACAGAAGGGCACCACCAGGCGUGGAGCCUGCGACUUAAUUAGACUCAACAAGGGGAAACUUACCAGGUCCAGACAUAGCAAGGAUUGGCAGACUAAGAGUUAUUUCUUGAUUCUAUGGGUGGUUGUGCAUGGGCGUUCUUAGUUGGUGGAACGAUUUGUCUGGUUAAUUAUGUUAACGAACGAGACAUCAGUCUGCUAACUAGCUAUACGGAGCCAUCCCUCGGCAGCUAGCUUCUUAGAGGUACUAUCGCCGUUUAGGCGACGGAAGUUUGAGGCAAUAACAGGUCUGUGAUGCCCUUAGAUGUACCACACUCAUGCUGAUGUAUUCAACGAGUAUAUAGCCUUGGCCGACAGGCCCGGGUAAUCUUGGGAAAUUUCAUCUUGAUGGGGAUAGGUCAUUACAAUUGUUGGUCUUCAAAGAGAAAUGCCUAGUAAGCAUGAACCAUCAGCUCGCGUUGACUACAUCCUUGCCCUUUGUACACACCUCUCGUCGCUCCUACCAAUUGAAUGGUCCGAUGAAGUGUUUGGACUGCGUAGACGGCGGUGGUUUGCCGUCCCCGACGUCGCAAGAAGUCCGUUGAACCUUAUCAUUUAGAGGAACAAGUCAUAACAAGGUUUCCGUAGGUGAACCUGCGGAAG